rnacentral:rRNA from 1 species
AUACGAAUGUCCCAAGCGUUAUUCGGAAUCACUGGGCGUAAAGAGUACGUAGGCGGUUUGGUAAGUCAGGUGUGAAAUCCCGGAGCUCAACUCCGGAACUGCAUCCGAUACUGCCAGACUUGAGUAAUGGAGAGGCAGGUGGAAUUCUCGGUGUAGCAGUGAAAUGCGUGGAUAUCGAGAGGAAGACCAAUGGCGAAGGCAGCCUGCUGGACAUUUACUGACGCUCAGGUACGAAGGCCAGGGGGGCGAAAGGGAUUAGAAACCCGAGUAGUCC